CUUUUUCUCUGUGCAUCCUCAGUGACGCGGGGCACAGCUCUGCCCGGGGGCCUACCAGAGCCCACCUGGACCCCACACUGGGUCAGCCCUGGUGCGGAGGAGGCCGCUGUAGGCGCGGCCAGGUCACAGUCGGCACCAGAAGUUUGGCAGAUCUCAGUGAGGCGUUAGUUUGCAUUUCCUUGUGACGGGUUUUGACUGGAAUGCCAGGCUUAACGUUGCUCAGAAGUUGCUUCUAUGAGGACGUCUCCCAGCAGCUGUCAGUGUUUCCAAUGAGUCAUCGCCAGCCCCUGCAAUGAGCCUCUCAGGCUGGAAACAGGUUUUCAGGCCCUGGGCUGCAGCUCCUGGUGCUGAGAACUUUCCAGAAGGUUGGUGGCUCCUGUUCUACGCCUUGUCAGGGAAGAUGUGGGUUCGCCCCAGGUGCUCCAGAAAGGUCGUGUUCUCUAUGGAAUGAAGACGGGUGGGCAUAAGCGUGGGUCCGGGGCCACCCUCUGUCGUCCGCCGGCGUGUUUCUCAUCCAGCCACGUCUCGGAAGGUCUGUGACUGCUGAAAACAUUCUGUGCAUGAACGUUGGGGAAGGAAACCCACCCAGAGGAGGGGCAGGCGCCACCCCAGGCGUCAGAGCACCAAGCCGCAGAGAACGGAGGCAGCAGGUGCCCGGGACACACCGGGGAGACCGCAGGAGCAGCCCGUGUCUUCUGUGGCUCAGUCCCGCGAGAAACUGGAGGCCAGCGCUUCACAGCUCCCAUUUGCAGAGACCAGCUCCCGUGAAUGAAGCAAACAACCUGAUGUUUGCAUUUGCAAGAGGAACUAUGAUUGUGCCAGGGAUGGGGUCUUCAGGUUGUGCAUGAGAGUCUGGGGUCCAUGCGUGGAGAGGGAGUGGUGUCAGAGGGUCAGAGCCCAUGGGCGGUUCUGGGACAUGGAAGCUGGUGUCGAGUCAGUCGGGGACGUGGCCUCCCCAGCACAGCCAGGGUGAGUGUCCUCUCUCUCUAAGGCGAGGCAGGAGGGGCCUCUUGUUUCUCAGCCCCCGCAGCUCUGGCCACCCCAGGCUUAUGGCACACGGUAAUGGAUAUUUCUGAAUGUCUCUUUGGCCAAAUGAGUCUGGAAAAUGAUGUGCUAAGGUGCUCUUGGGAUUGUUUUCAUGGAUCCCAGGUUCGUCGUGUGUAUAAUGUGGCAAUCUGCACCGUAAACCCCGAGCUGCGCAGCCUGGCGCGGCGUGCGUCCGUAACGCAUUUAACCACCAUUUAUUGUUGUUAUUAUCAUUUUUAUUAUUGUCAUUAUUUGGGUAAUAGUAAAGAAGUGUGCUUUA
ensembl:lncRNA LINC01237 long intergenic non-protein coding RNA 1237